CAGCACCACCUCUCAGCUCACAAGAGACGGUGACCAGGUGCCACAGGGACGGCAUGCUGUCAGUGUUCUAGAGCAAGAGGUGCCCUCAGUCACUCAUGGAAACCCUUAAGCAUCACUGGUGCCUGGAACCAAAUGUCCUCGGAGGCCAAGGAUGGCACGGAAGGUCUGCCGCAGGACAGGGUCACGACCUGGCUCUGUGUGACUCUUAGCUCUUCCCCAAAGUCGACAUGACUACGAAACAAACAUUUGGAACCGAUCAGGACAUGGAGGCAGCUACAACAGCACAACUAAAGUCGCUCACGGAAGAGGACUUCCGGAACCGCUGCAGAAAGUGCCAGGUGAACAGUUCCAUAAAAAGACCUGAGGAAAGCCACAAGUGUCCAAUGCUGGGAGCAUCCUGUCCACCCCACUUCAGAGGCCCUGCAGGAAAAAGCACAACAUACAGGAGAUGCCACUAUUCUACAGACCACAGUCCAUCUGCUCGUUCCUGUUGCCUUUUUUAAAAAAAUGAAAGCUCUGGUAUUUAUGCACAAUGGAGCACUAUUCUACUAGAAAGGAUAAACUUCAGUCAUGUGUAGGAGAAUGGGCACCUUGAGACUAUGAUGUUAAGUGAAAUAAACUAGACACGCAAACUUAAAUAACUCAUGGUGUGUCUCAGCUUCCCCUGAAUCCCCGCAAACCCAGGAGGAUGAAGCUGGGUGUGGGGGUCACUUUGUCUAUAAUCUCAGUAUUUGGGAGGCCGAGGCAGGAGGACCACUGUGAGCUCAAGGCAGCUUGAACUACAUAGUGAGACUAUCUUAAACAAGCUGUAAGAAGAUAGCAGCUACUGAUACAUAUUUCUUGGUGUGGGCCAAGCAUCCAACUGAGUACUUUCUGUGCUUUAAUUCACCUUGUGCUCACAACAACCCUAUUUUACAGUUGAUGCUGCUGAAACGCAGAGAAGGUAGUGAGUGACUUGUCCAAGGUUGCACAGCAGACAAUUAUGGGCCACUUGUCCGCUGCCCUGCUGGGUGGCCAGGCAGUGACUCGCGUCCUGGCGGUCUGCAAGCCGUGGGACAUUUCCCAGGGUGUGGUACCUCCUCCCAAACCCUGGGAGCUGUCUGUGUGUGGUGUCAGCCUGUCCCACUUCAUCACGCCAGUCAUUAAUCCCCUGUGCAGCACAGCUGGGACCGGGCCCCAGACCCUGUCUCCGCUGCCAUGUUUUCACAAGCCUGAUAAACGAUCCUGCUGCCGCAGCUCGAAGGGCAUCUGUGGAAAAGUGGUCCUGAGCAAGAUUCUCCAAGACCUUUUUCCACGUCCCAUCCAUCCAUCCUUGGCUGCUGGGAACCAGCGUGACAUAGCUGCUGGCAGCCAGAAGCCAGGCUCCGGAGGUCUCUAGUCUGGGGUUGGGGCCACAGGAAUCACAUCAGAGACGGCCCAGACAGCGUGGAGUUCACCUCUUCUCACUGUGUGAGAGGGGACACCAGGAGGGAGUAGUUCAAGGUCGACCAGCACUAGUCUGGGGGUGAAGCUCCACAGACCAGGUCUGGCCUUUGAGAUAGCUUUUCAGCCCAUGGCUGGCAAGCAAUAUCUCAUUUUCCUCUCCUGAUCAGCCCUCCAGGUGAGUGUUACUAAACCCAUUUUACAACUGGGUGUGGUGGUACACACCUGUAAUCCCAGCAUUUGAGAGGCUGAGGC